CCUACGGGCGGCAGCAGUGGGGAAUAUUGGGCAAUGGAGGCAACUCUGACCCUGCAAUGCCGCGUGAGUGAUGAAGGUAAUUUUAUUGUAAAGCUCUUGUCUUUGGAACGAAUAAAUGACGGUAACAAAGGAAUAAGCCCCGGCUAACUACGUGCCAGCAGGCGACGUAAGACGUGGGGGGCAAGCGUUGUUCGGAAGGACUGGGGGUAAAGGGUGUGUGGGUGGUUUGAUAAGUUAGAUGUGUAAUACCGAGGGCGUAACUCGCGUACUGCAUCUAAAACUGUUAGACUUGAGUACUGGAGAGGAUAGUGGAAUUCCUAGUGUAGCGGUGGAAUGCGUAGAUAUUAGGAGGAACAUCAGUGGCGAAGGCGACUAUCUGGACAGCAACUGACACUGAGGCACGAAAGCGUGGGGAGCGAACAGGAUUAGAUACCCCAGUAGUC
rnacentral:rRNA from 1 species